UCGUUGUUAAUUAAUUAAAGUAAUUUUAAUAAAAUUACAAAAGUGGGGUUUUCGUGUCAACUCUGGUUACUUCUCUUUAUAGAAUCGCUUAAUGCACACUCCAUGCUGUUUGCCAGUUCCCGUGGGUCAUGGACGUUCAGGCCCGUGAAAUUCAGGCUUUUCCUGACUAGGCUUUAUCAUAUUUUAGGCCUUAGCCAGCCAUGAUAACCACAAGAUAUGACAGUUUUGCCUGUGCUGGUAUUUACUUUUCAUCACCAACAAUCUCAGUCUCAU